GGAUGCCUUGGCGAUCACAGGCGAUGAAGGACGUAGUAGCCUGCGAAAAGCUGCGGGGAGCUGGCAAACAAGCUUUGAUCCGCAGAUAUCCGAAUGGGGAAACCCACUCCGUAAGGAGUAUCCCUGACUGAAUACAUAGGUCAGUGGAAGCGAACCGGGUGAACUGAAACAUCUCAGUAGCUCGAGGAAAAGAAAUCAACCGAGAUUCCGAAAGUAGUGGCGAGCGAAAUCGGAAGAGCCUUCACGUUUUAGCAUGCAAGAUAGUCGAACGGAAUGGAAAGUCCGGCCGUAGCAGGUGAUAGCCCUGUAGACGAAAUUUUGUGUGUGGAACUAAGCGUGAGAAAAGUAGGGCGGGACACGUGAAAUCCUGUUUGAAGAUGGGGGGACCAUCCUCCAAGGCUAAAUACUCGUGAUCGACCGAUAGUGAACCAGUACCGUGAGGGAAAGGCGAAAAGAACCCCGGAAGGGGAGUGAAAUAGAUCCUGAAACCGUAUGCAUACAAACAGUAGGAGCCUCCUUGUGGGGUGACUGCGUACCUUUUGUAUAAUGGGUCAGCGACUUACAUUCAGUGGCAAGGUUAACCGAAUAGGGAAGCCGUAGCGAAAGCGAGUCCGAAUAGGGCGAUUCAGUCGCUGGGUGUAGACCCGAAACCAGAUGAUCUAUCCAUGGCCAGGUUGAAGGCACGGUAACACGUGCUGGAGGACCGAACCCACUAAUGUUGAAAAAUUAGGGGAUGAGCUGUGGAUAGGGGUGAAAGGCUAAACAAAUCUGGAAAUAGCUGGUUCUCUCCGAAAACUAUUUAGGUAGUGCCUCAAGUAUUACUGCGGGGGGUAGAGCACUGUUAUAGCUAGGGGGUCAUGGCGACUUACCAAACUAUGGCAAACUCCGAAUACCCGCAAGUACAGCUUGGGAGACAGAGCACCGGGUGCUAACGUCCGGACUCAAGAGGGAAACAACCCAGACCGCCAGCUAAGGUCCCAAAUUAUCGCUAAGUGGGAAACGAAGUGGGAAGGCAUAGACAGUCAGGAGGUUGGCUUAGAAGCAGCCAUCCUUUAAAGAAAGCGUAAUAGCUCACUGAUCGAGUCGUCCUGCGCGGAAGAUGUAACGGGGCUAAGCGAUAAACCGAAGCUGCGGGUGUGCACUUUGUGCACGCGGUAGGAGAGCGUUCUGUAAGCCUGCGAAGGUGGCUUGUAAAGGCUGCUGGAGGUAUCAGAAGUGCGAAUGCUGACAUGAGUAGCGAUAAAGGGGGUGAAAAGCCCCCUCGCCGUAAGUCCAAGGUUUCCUGCGCAACGUUCAUCGGCGCAGGGUGAGUCGGCCCCUAAGGCGAGGCAGAGAUGCGUAGCUGAUGGGAAGCUGGUUAAUAUUCCAGCACCGUCGUACAGUGCGAUGGGGGGACGGAUCGCGGAAGAUCAUCAGGGUGUUGGAUGUCCCUGUUGACGUAUCGAAGAUGGCGCUUAGGCAAAUCCGGGCGCGUAAAUCAAG
rnacentral:rRNA from 2 species